CGAGCUGCUUCAUUGGAUGCAUCAAGCAAGCGCAGUUCCUUGAUCUCCUCUUGCCACUUCUCCACUUGGUCCCUGUGAAUUCUAUGAGCAGAGAACUUUACUCACGAGAUCAGGCGCUCUUCAAAUUGUGAGCUCAGAUUGCUGAACAUUUCCUUUCCACUUUCCAGCAGCUUGGAGACCUUGAGGGCAACACAAACCAGAAAUGAGUGAGUGCGUCCUGAUCAUGAGCUUCUCACUCGAAAUUCAGAAAAUUUAUCUGAUUUUCAGAAUAUAUGAAUAUGCAUGAGAUUCAGUUUCAAACUUUUCUCUAUUGAAGAUUUCCUUGUGAAAAUAUAAGACGCUGAUUAUGUUUAUAUACGACUCUAGUGGUCCCAUUUCAAGA